rnacentral:rRNA from 1 species
GUGGAUUAGAUACCCGGGUAGUCCACGCCCUAAACGAUGUCAACUGGUUGUUGGUGGGGUUAAACCCAUUAGUAACGAAGCUAACGCGUGAAGUUGACCGCCUGGGGAGUACGGCCGCAAGGUUAAAACUCAAAGGAAUUGACGGGGACCCGCACAAGCGGUGGAUGAUGUGGAUUAAUUCGAUGCAACGCGAAGAACCUUACCUACCCUUGACAUGCCAGGAAGCCGGGUGAGAGCUCGGUGUGCCCGAAAGGGAGCCUGGACACAGGUGCUGCACGGCCGUCGUCAACU